AUGACACUGCAAGCGAAACCAAGUCCUGGGAGGAGGAAGACUGCUUGCCAUCGCAUCAUGAAGCUCAGCAAAUCUGUCUGGAACAACAUUAAGAAAAACACUAAAUAUUGUGGUGACAUGACCACUUAUGACUGCUUGGAUUCACUUCCUGAAGUUCGCAUAAACUGUGAACAUGAUUGGACGGAUCUUUGCAAACAAGUCCUCAUCAACUAUGAAAUCAUCCUGAAGCACUUAAAAGAGAAAUCAAACCAACCACCAAUCAUCCAAGGACAAAGAAACACGAAGCUUGGCAAAAACAAAUGCAACAUCUCGUGUAAUAUCAACAAAUUACACAGGAAGAUAAGGCAGAAAGUUACAAGCAGCGGUGACACUCGUAACAAGAAAUUUUGCCCAUCGAGCCAAAACUGCACCGCAACACCAAAUAUGGAAAAUGUCAAUUGCCAAUCAAUGGAUUGGAAAUGCAUUGCUGAAAGUGUGCUGAAAAAACUAAAUUAUUUCCUGCAAGACUUCAAAGUUGGCUUUCGAAGAUGCAACAGGAGGAAACGAGUAACAGGAAUGGACAGGCAAUGAUGAUCGGAGGACAUGCAGUAUUAAAUGUACAUCCAAGGAUAUUUAUUGCACUUAUAAACUUCAAAUGAACACCAUAGGCAGUGUUAUGGCUGAUACAUACACUUAUCAAGCCACUGAUCUUUCAAUCAGAUGCAGUAUUAUUACACUUAUGGGGUUGGGGUUGUAGUUAGAAUUUAAAGCCUUAACACCCAUUGAGUUUUUGUAGUUUAUAAAAUAAUUUUGAACUCACAAUAAGGACACAUGGAUAGGGGUAACUGUUUGUCGUACAGUCCAACCGAGUGAUGGGCCUUAUCCAUUUGAGAUUAGAGAGGUUAAGGAUGCUCUGUCAUGUUGAACGUGAGAUUCUCCAGACAUCCCUCAAAUUCAUGGUACCGUUUCUCGGCGUGUGCCGCAGUAUGGCUUCCACUCCCACCCCUUCCUCCACCACACCUCCCCCUAUCUCACAUGCCACCAAUAAGAAAAAACUCUGGCUCUCUUGCACUCACCGGAAGAGGCAUGGCCACCACUGAGUGACAGCGAGCAAGGUGGCCCGUGAUUGGCGUUUCCCACCUGGCGGACACGUAGCCGAUUGGGUCAGGUUCGUCAUCGUGGAGUGGGUAAGAGUUUUUGCUGUGUGGAGGCACGGCGCAUGACUGCUAGUUACCCUACAGGCAUUAAUGUCGACGCCUUGAGGGUGAAGUGGGGGGUGGGAGCUUGGCCUGUAUUUCUGCUGUCGGGAUGCACUGCCCUCAUGAGCUGCCUCAAUGCCUUCUGUUCAACCUAUGACUUCUCUCCACCUGCACUGAUUACUUGCCCAAUUCUGUGUGAAUGCUUGUUAUGUGUGUGUGGUGCCAGAGUUAGGGAUUAGUUCCUUCAUUGUUAAAUAUUGUGAUUAUUUAUUGUCUGUCUUCGUCCAGGAUUCCGUAUUCAUUUUGACUUGUGCUGAUUAAAUUAUUACAUUUCUUAAGCCUGUGUGCGUUGAAUUCCUGCCAUCUUUCAAGCGCCGACGAUUCGGGUUCGGUUGAUUAUCCCUGGAGGAUUAAUUUAUUUUUCAUUUGAAUAUUAAUAGCCGACGUGGUUUAUUUAUACCACGCUCGGAGUAUGGUGGCACGCCGACUAUCGCUUGGGCGUGAUUCCUGUUUAAUUCUAUCAUAAAUGGAGUGGAGGGAUCUUCAUCAUGUUUGGUCUCAGGAGCAGCUGCGGAUGUAGUUGUGGUUGAGCGGUUGGCAUGGUGGGGGGCGUCCACAGGACAGUAUUAAUAUAUGUGACUGUUCUACAUCCACAGACUUUUCUUUGCAGAUGUUGCUGCGCAGUGUGUUUGCAUUCAUGAAAAUUUUCUGUUGUAUACAUAUUGCAAUUUUAAUUCAGAUUUUAUGACGUGGUUAAAUUUUUGUGAGUGCAUUUUUCAUUCCUUCCCUCUCACUAUCUAAAUCACAAAAAGCACAUGAAAAAUGUGUUAUUACUGUAUUCUGUUUUACUGUAAGAUGCAGAGCAUAAUGUAAAUCUAAAUAUAUCUGGUAUUUAUCUACUUUUUGGAUGAAUACUGUUGUGAGACUGUUUUUAUCGACUUAUUUAUUAUAAAGAAUUUCGAAUGUAAUGAAACACUGCAAAAACCUAUUUUUUUUUUUAAUCUAUCUUUAAGUCCAUUCUUUGUGAGAUGAUAACAUUGGCAUUUGAAAAAGAAAUAAAUGUUUUAAACUGG
rnacentral:lncRNA from 1 species